AUGGGGGACAAGAGGCAUAUGGGGAUUCUUCCUCACCUUCUCGUACUCAUCCUCCUCGGGGUUGUGUUUCUGCAGCCAGUCCGCCAGCGGCCGGUCCUUGAAGGAGCCGGUCACGCCGUGCUCCACCUGGAUCUUCCGCAGGGUCUCGGCGUUGGGGAUCAUCUCUACCAUGCCUGGCAGGUGGGACAGCGGGGUGAGACCCUUCCAGCCCCAAGAACUCCGACCUUGACCCCCUCUGUCACCAACCCAACUGCUCCUCACCCAUCACGACUGCAUGACAGGGAUGGGCUGGUGGGAUCAGACCCCAGGAUGUCCUGGGCCACCCCCAGCCCCACCAGGGACCUCUGGGGACACCCAAACUCCGUCUCACCUCGCCCACGGCCGGUGGAGAAGCAGCGGAAGAUGACCAUGCGCAUGUCCAGCCCCUCCUGCACCCAGAUCUUGUUCAUGAUGCGGAUCAUCUGCAGCGUCAGCAUGUCCUGCCGCAGGUCAUCGCCACACUGCCCAGGGAAGAGCCACCAGAGCCAUCAGGGCCAAAGGAGAACCAUCAGGGCCACCAGAGCCAAGGGAGAGCCAUCAGGGCCAGGGGAGAACCAUCAGAGCCAGGGGAGGAGCCACCAGAGUCACCAGGGCCAGGGGAGAACCAUCAGGGCCACCAAAGCCACCAGAACCAUCAGAGCCAGAGGAGAACCAUCAAGACCAGGGGAUAAUCAUCAGGGCCACCAAAGCCACCAAAGCCAUCAGAGCCAUGGGAGAACCAUCAGAGCCCUCAGAGUCAGGGGAAAACCAUCAGGGCCAGGGGAAAAGCCACCAGAACCAUUGGAGAGCCAUCAGAGCCAGGGGAGAACCACUCGGGCCAGGGGGAGAGCCAUCAGAGGCAUCAGAGGCAUCAGAGCCAUCAGAACCAGGGGAGAACCAUCAUGGCCAGGGGAGAACCGUCAGGGCUGGGGGAGAGCCCUCAGGGCCACCAGAGCCAUCAGAACCAAGGGAGAACCACCAGAGCCAGGGAGGAGCCACCAGAACCAUCAGAGCCCUCAGAGCCCAGAGCACGGGGAUCCUCGGAGGGCUGUGCCAGGAUUUGGGCACUCCCAAAGGCGCCGGGCUGACCUUGAAGAUGACGCGGAUGUUCUCCCCGAGCGGAUCGACGUUCUGGAAGGAGAGCUUCAGCGGGACGGCGUUGGAGUUGAAGUAGGAGCAGUCCUGCCGUGGGAAGGAGGUCAGGGCGAGCCGGGGGCGGGCAGGGAACCCCCUGAGCCCCCCGGGAUGGGCUGGCACUCACCCGGGGCACGAUGCCCUUGA
rnacentral:lncRNA from 1 species